rnacentral:rRNA from 1 species
GAUGAACGCUGGCGGCGUGCCUAAUACAUGCAAGUCGAGCGAACAGACGAGGAGCUGGCUCCUCUGACGUUAGCGGCGGACGGGUGAGUAACACGUGGAUAACCUACCUAUAAGACUGGGAUAACUUCGGGAAACCGGAGCUAAUACCGGAUAAUAUAUUGAACCGCAUGGUUCAAUAGUGAAAGACGGUUUUGCUGUCACUUAUAGAUGGAUCCGCGCCGCAUUAGCUAGUUGGUAAGGUAACGGCUUACCAAGGCAACGAUGCGUAGCCGACCUGAGAGGGUGAUCGGCCACACGGGAACUGAGACACGGUACAGACUCCUACGGGAGGCAGCAGUAGGGAAUCUUACGCAAUGGGGGAAAGCCUGAUGGAGCACCGCCGCGUGAGUGAUGAAGGUCUUCGGAUCGUAAAACGCUGUAAUUAGGGAAGAACAAAUGUGUAAGUAACUAUGAACGUCUUGACGGUACCUGAUCAGAAAGCCACGGCUAACUACGUG